rnacentral:rRNA from 1 species
GUUGAACGCUGGCGGCAUGCCUUACACAUGCAAGUCGAACGGUAACAGGUCUUCGGAUGCUGACGAGUGGCGAACGGGUGAGUAAUACAUCGGAACGUGCCCGAUCGUGGGGGAUAACGAAGCGAAAGCUUUGCUAAUACCGCAUAAGAUCUACGGAUGAAAGCAGGGGACCGCAAGGCCUUGCGCGAACGGAGCGGCCGAUGGCAGAUUAGGUAGUUGGUGGGAUAAAAGCUUACCAAGCCGACGAUCUGUAGCUGGUCUGAGAGGACGACCAGCCACACUGGGACUGAGACACGGCCCAGACUCCUACGGGAGGCAGCAGUGGGGAAUUUUGGACAAUGGGCGAAAGCCUGAUCCAGCCAUGCCGCGUGCAGGAUGAAGGCCUUCGGGUUGUAAACUGCUUUUGUACGGAACGAAAAGACUCUGGUUAAUACCUGGGGUCCAUGACGGUACCGUAAGAAUAAGCACCGGCUAACUACGUG